rnacentral:rRNA from 1 species
AAUGCAUAGGAAUCUGCCUAGUAGUAUGGGAUAGCCACUAGAAAUGGUGGGUAAUACUGUAUAAUCCCUGCGGGGGAAAGAUUUAUCGCUACUGGAUGAGCCUAUGUUAGAUUAGCUAGUUGGUGGGGUAAUGGCCUACCAAGGCUGUGAUCUAUAGCUGGUCUGAGAGGAUGAUCAGCCACACUGGAACUGAGACACGGUCCAGACUCCUACGGGAGGCAGCAGUGGGGAAUAUUGGACAAUGGGCGCAAGCCUGAUCCAGCUAUGCCGCGUGAGUGAGGAAGGCCUUAGGGUUGUAAAACUCUUUCAGCAGGGAAGAUAAUGACGGUACCUGCAGA